UUCUUAUUUCUACAGGCCAUAUUCUUAAAUUGGAAUAAUACAGAGGUGGUUUGUAUGGUCUCUAAAGAAGAAUGACACAAUGAUUUGUAAUGUAUCUCAUAUAUUU